GACUGGUCCAAGUGCAGUGGUGUUUACAACUAAUUGAUCACAAUCAGUUACAGAUUUCUUUGUUCCUUCUCUACUCCCACUGCUUCACUUGACUAGCCUUAA
rnacentral:Y_RNA from 1 species